rnacentral:rRNA from 1 species
GUGCCAGCAGCCGCGGUAAUACGAAGGGGCUAGCGUUGUUCGGAAUUACUGGGCGUAAAGCGCACGUAGGCGGAUACUUAAGUCAGGGGUGAAAUCCCGCAGCUCAACUGCGGAACUGCCUUUGAUACUGGGUAUCUAGAGACCGAGAGAGGUAAGUGGAACUCCUAGUGUAGAGGUGGAAUUCGUAGAUAUUAGGAAGAACACCAGUGGCGAAGGCGGCUUACUGGCUCGGAACUGACGCUGAGGUGCGAAAAGCGUGGGAGCAAACAGGAUUAGAUAACCCUGGUAGUCCACGCCGUAAACGAUGAGAGCUAGCCGUUGGGGGUUUACCUUUCGAGUGGCGCAGCUAACGCAUUAAGCUCUCCGCUGGGAGUACGGUCGCAAGAUU